rnacentral:lncRNA from 1 species
UCUAGAAUAUUUGGUAAUAGCUAGUUGUCGGAUUGUUGGUGCUAACCAUUAAUCCCAAAAAUUCGAGCUGUUAGAAAUAUGCAACCAAUUUACUUAAAACGUACAAAUACAACGCCCACGGGUCUCGAUUGUGACUUGGCCCACCCAGCCUUACGUCACUUCGAACAUGACUCGGCCCACCCAGCCUCACGCCAUUUCGAACAUGAUUCGGCUCAACAUGGCCUUCCGCCGUAGGGCAGAAUGCUGGCCUAUUUAAGCCAACAGUUUAGCGUGGAUCUUGCGAUUAGGGUUCAAUGCGCAUGUCUGUUUGAAAGGAAAAAAUAAGUUGCUUAUGUUUAAUGGGACAUGAGUUUCAUAGCUAGUUCGGUUCGAAUCGAGUCAGAUUUGAUAUUAGGUCAUGUUUGAAGUUACGGAUGUUCUAGAAUUGAUUGUCGAGGAGAGUUAAUUGCACGAAGUUAAGUGUUCAUAGAUGAAUUAUGAUAGCAGUGCUUCUAAUUUACCAAAACCUUAAAAGUGAUAUUAGAUACGUUGUCCAUCGUAUCGUGGGGCAAAGUGUGUGGAUCUUGUCGUAAAAUGUCUCUAAGUUAAUGUUUGUUUGAUUAUAAUUCUGCUUUCAACUGUAGUCAUCUCUAUAAAAAAAAAAAAACGCAGA